GAGUGGCGGACGGGUGAGUAAUGUCUGGGAAACUGCCUGAUGGAGGGGGAUAACUACUGGAAACGGUAGCUAAUACCGCAUAACGUCGCAAGACCAAAGAGGGGGACCUUCGGGCCUCUUGCCAUCGGAUGUGCCCAGAUGGGAUUAGCUUGUUGGUGGGGUAACGGCUCACCUAGGCGACGAUCCCUAGCUGGUCUGAGAGGAUGACCAGCCACACUGGAACUGAGACACGGUCCAGACUCCUACGGGAGGCAGCAGUGGGGAAUAUUGCACAAUGGGCGCAAGCCUGAUGCAGCCAUGCCGCGUGUAUGAAGAAGGCCUUCGGGUUGUAAAGUACUUUCAGCGGGGAGGAAGGGAGUAAAGUUAAUACCUUUGCUCAUUGACGUUACCCGCAGAAGAAGCACCGGCUAACUCCGUGCCAGCAGCCGCGGUAAUACGGAGGGUGCAAGCGUUUAAUCGGAAUUACUGGGCGUAAAGCGCACGCAGGCGGUUUGUUAAGUCAGAUGUGAAAUCCCCGGGCUCAACCUGGGAACUGCAUCUGAUACUGGCAAGCUUGAGUCUCGUAGAGGGGGGUAGAAUUCCAGGUGUAGCGGUGAAAUGCGUAGAGAUCUGGAGGAAUACCGGUGGCGAAGGCGGCCCCCUGGACGAAGACUGACGCUCAGGUGCGAAAGCGUGGGGAGCAAACAGGAUUAGAUACCCUGGUAGUCCACGCCGUAAACGAUGUCGACUUGGAGGUUGUGCCCUUGAGGCGUGGCUUCCGGAGCUAACGCGUUAAGUCGACCGCCUGGGGAGUACGGCCGCAAGGUUAAAACUCAAAUGAAUUGACGGGGGCCCGCACAAGCGGUGGAGCAUGUGGUUUAAUUCGAUGCAACGCGAAGAACCUUACCUGGUCUUGACAUCCACGGAAGUUUUCAGAGAUGAGAAUGUGCCUUCGGGAACCGUGAGACAGGUGCUGCAUGGCUGUCGUCAGCUCGUGUUGUGAAAUGUUGGGUUAAGUCCCGCAACGAGCGCAACCCUUAUCCUUUGUUGCCAGCGGUCCGGCCGGGAACUCAAAGGAGACUGCCAGUGAUAAACUGGAGGAAGGUGGGGAUGACGUCAAGUCAUCAUGGCCCUUACGACCAGGGCUACACACGUGCUACAAUGGCGCAUACAAAGAGAAGCGACCUCGCGAGAGCAAGCGGACCUCAUAAAGUGCGUCGUAGUCCGGAUUGGAGUCUGCAACUCGACUCCAUGAAGUCGGAAUCGCUAGUAAUCGUGGAUCAGAAUGCCACGGUGAAUACGUUCCCGGGCCUUGUACACACCGCCCGUCACACCAUGGGAGUGGGUUGCAAAAGAAG
rnacentral:rRNA from 1 species